AAGGUGGGGAUGACGUCAAGUCCUCAUGGCCCUUACAGGCUGGGCUACACACGUGCUACAAUGGUAACUACAGAGGGCAGCGACUUAGCGAUAAGUAGCCAAUCCCAAAAAGUUAUCUCAGUUCGGAUUGCACUCUGCAACUCGAGUGCAUGAAGUUGGAAUCGCUAGUAAUCGUGGAUCAGCAUGCCACGGUGAAUACGUUCCCGGGCCUUG
rnacentral:rRNA from 1 species